rnacentral:lncRNA from 1 species
AUUCGUCCCCCUCUUCCUCCACUCCACGACGCUCACCGAUGGCCGCGGCCGGCGCCCAGCGGCGGCGGAGCAGCGCCUCCUCCUCCUCCGCCUCCCCCGAGUUCCGCUUCUGGCCCGUCGACGCCGACCCCGCCGCCUCCCCGUCCUGCGCCGACGAGAUCUUCUCCGGCGGCCUCAUCCUCCCCCGCCUCCCGCUGCCCGUCCCGCGUCGCGCCUUCGACGGGGAUGCUGCUCCCGCGUGCCCUGAGCCAUCCGCUGCUGCGGCGGGCGGCG